rnacentral:rRNA from 1 species
AGAGUUUGAUCCUGGCUCAGGAUGAACGCUGGCGGCGUGCCUAAUACAUGCAAGUAGAACGCUGAAGCUUGGUGCUUGCACCGAGCGGAUGAGUUGCGAACGGGUGAGUAACGCGUAGGUAACCUGCCUCUUAGCGGGGGAUAACUAUUGGAAACGAUAGCUAAUACCGCAUAAAAGUCGACAUCGCAUGAUGUUGACUUGAAAGGUGCAAUUGCAUCACUAAGAGAUGGACCUGCGUUGUAUUAGCUAGUUGGUGAGGUAACGGCUCACCAAGGCGACGAUACAUAGCCGACCUGAGAGGGUGAUCGGCCACACUGGGACUGAGACACGGCCCAGACUCCUACGGGAGGCAGCAGUAGGGAAUCUUCGGCAAUGGGGGCAACCCUGACCGAGCAACGCCGCGUGAGUGAAGAAGGUUUUCGGAUCGUAAAGCUCUGUUGUAAGUCAAGAACGAGUGUGAGAGUGGAAAGUUCACACUGUGACGGUAGCUUACCAGAAAGGGACGGCUAACUACGUGCCAGCAGCCGCGGUAAUACGUAGGUCCCGAGCGUUGUCCGGAUUUAUUGGGCGUAAAGCGAGCGCAGGCGGUUUGAUAAGUCUGAAGUUAAAGGCUGUGGCUCAACCAUAGUUCGCUUUGGAAACUGUCAAACUUGAGUGCAGAAGGGGAGAGUGGAAUUCCAUGUGUAGCGGUGAAAUGCGUAGAUAUAUGGAGGAACACCGGUGGCGAAAGCGGCUCUCUGGUCUGUAACUGACGCUGAGGCUCGAAAGCGUGGGGAGCGAACAGGAUUAGAUACCCUGGUAGUCCACGCCGUAAACGGUGGAUGCUGGAUGUGGGGCCCGUUCCACGGGUUCCGUGUCGGAGCUAACGCGUUAAGCAUCCCGCCUGGGGAGUACGGCCGCAAGGCUAAAACUCAAAGAAAUUGACGGGGGCCCGCACAAGCGGCGGAGCAUGCGGAUUAAUUCGAUGCAACGCGAAGAACCUUACCUGGGCUUGACAUGUUCCCGACGGCCGUAGAGAUAUGGCCUCCCUUCGGGGCGGGUUCACAGGUGGUGCAUGGUCGUCGUCAGCUCGUGUCGUGAGAUGUUGGGUUAAGUCCCGCAACGAGCGCAACCCU